rnacentral:rRNA from 1 species
UAAGCAAUUAAGGGCUUAGGCUGGAUACCUUGGCGCUCAGAAGCGAUGAAGGGCGUGUCUACCAGCGAAAUGCUUCGGGGAGCUGGACGUAAGCUUUGAUCCGGAGGUUCCCGAAUGAGGAAACUUUUUAUACUGUACAUCUAAUUCAUAGGUGUACGAGAGCUAACCUGGAGAACUGAAACAUCUUAGUAUCCAGAGGAAAAUAAAGCAAUAGCGAUUCCCAUAGUAGCGGCGAGCGAAAAGGGAACAGCCUAAACCAUCUUCGCGGGUGGGGUUGUGGGACGGCAUGUGCUUUGGUAGUUAUGGUUAGGAGAAACUUUUGGAAUGAAGUACCGCAGAAGGUGAUGGUCCUGUACCCGAAAGCCUGUUACUAUUCUAUGCUGUAUCCCAAGUAGCAUGGGCCACGUGGAAUCCCGUGUGAAUCUGCGAGGACCACCUCGUAAGGCUAAAUAUUCCUGAGCGACCGAUAGCGUACAAGUACCGUGAGGGAAAGGUGAAAAGAACCCCGGAAGGGGAGUGAAAAAGAGCAUGAAAGCGUAAGUCUACAAGCAGUGGAAGGACGACUAAACGUUCGACUUCGUACCUGUUGAAGAAUGAGCCGGCGACUUAUAGGCAGUGGCAGGGUAAGGGGUUACUACUGGAGCCAUAGUGAAAACGAGCUUUUAUAGAGCGUUGGGCACUGUUUUUAGAACCG